AUACGUAGGGGGCAAGCGUUAUCCGGAAUUACUGGGCGUAAAGGGAGCGUAGGCGGGUUAUCAAGUUGGAGGUGAAAGCCCAGGGCUCAACCUUGGAAUUGCCUUCAAAACUGAUAACCUUGAGUAUGGGAGAGGUAAGUGGAACUCCGAGUGUAGAGGUGAAAUUCGUAGAUAUUCGGAAGAACACCAGUGGCGAAGGCGACUUACUGGACCAUUACUGACGCUGAGGCUCGAAAGCGUGGGGAGC
rnacentral:rRNA from 1 species